CCUCCCUUCCUCACCCGCGCAAACCCUAGCUCCUCUCGAUCCCGUCCCCUUCCUCCCCGCCAGCUCCACCGAUCCUCCCUCGCCGCCGAUGGCUCCCGACCCAAACUCAGAUCCCAUCGACUACCAUGACUCGUCGUCGCCAUCGCACCUUCCACCACCGACGUCCCCGUCUCGCAUAGUCCCCGUCAACUCGCAGACGCCCCACAUCGAGCCCAACAAAACCUCGCGCGCCCGCACACCUUCUUCGCCGACGCGGCCAUGGCGGCGGUGGCGACCGUGAGCUAGGCCGGCAUGGUGACCCCGCGCCGCGCCGCCGCUGCCGCCCGAUCCGCGACAGCCAGCUCCUCCGCAAGGAGCCUGGAGGACCAUCCUUCCAGAGAGGCAAGCGUUCACUAAAGGCAUGGCGCAUGAUGAAGCUGUGGCUGCCCAGAAGACUGGGAAAUCAGGUUCACCCCCUAAGGGCGAGGCCGGUGAUGUCCGUGCGGUGAUGUCCCUGGGGUGGCGCCACUGUGCCCGGCGCUUGCCCUGGUCGCCGGGGUGGUGCUUCGGCGGCUUCCAGACCCUCUCCCGGAUGUGGUGAUGGUCACACCACAACCGUGGUGUAGCUGAGCCUCUGCUACGGCUACAACCUCCCUCUGGUGAGCUCCUCCUCGUUCCUUCUUCUCUGAUGUAGCUCCUGCAUGGCCUUGGACAUGAUUUGGGUUGGAUGUGGGGCUCUACUAGUUGCUGCUAGAUGCUGUAACCAAGCAUCAACUCCUACUGGAGCUCUCUGGUGAUAAAUUCAUGCCGUUCUAUGGUCUGUCAGUAGCUGCCCACGUGUACUUGCUUUAUAUAUGUGCUCCUAUGAUGCUCUGGUGAUAUGGGGUGGCUAAUAUCAAGAUCAUGGUGGUGUUGAUGCUUAUCUUGCGUGUCUCUGGUGGUGGUGGUGUUGACAGCAGUUACACACCUAGCUUGUAACUAAUAUCCUUACUGCUAAUUUACCUCAAGUUUAUCUGAACAUGGUUGAAAUGAGCGCUGCAAAUUUUGAUGUCUAAAAUCAAUUUUUACCCCAAGCCCUUAAGUAAUUAUUUUCAUUACAUCACAGUUAGCUGAGAAUAUUGACUUGAAUAUUUUAUGUAUGCCUUGAUGCAUGUACACAUACGGUUGAGCAAAUACCGAGCUGCAGUGGAACAACCUGGAGUUAGAGAACUUCAAGGACAAGAUCAACGAGGUGACCGGCGUUAUGGCGACUGUGUACGGCGGCGACCACAAGUUCUUCGAUGUUGGGCUUUCAUGUUUUUUCGUGAUCAUCAGGGCAAAGAAGUUGGAGGAAGAAUAGUUCUAGCUCAUUGGAGGUAGUUUUGAGAGUAAUGAAGCCCUUUAUGCUGCUCCUAUUUGUAUGUGUUGUAUGAUGUAGCAGAAUCUGGCUCAUGUGAUUGUACACUUGUGGAGCUUGUUAUCUGAUUGUAAACUUGAUGCUGAUCACAUUUGUAUGUGUGUUAUAUGAUGUA